UACGUAGGGUGCAAGCGUUAAUCGGAAUUACUGGGCGUAAAGCGUGCGCAGGCGGUUUGGAAAGAAAGAUGUGAAAUCCCAGGGCUCAACCUUGGAACUGCAUUUUUAACUACCCGGACUAGAGUAUGUCAGAGGGGGGGUGAAUUCCACGUGUAGCAGUGAAAUGCGUAGAUAUGUGGAGGAACACCCGAUGGCGAAGGCAGCCCCCUGGGAUAAUACUGACGCUCGAUGCACGAA
rnacentral:rRNA from 1 species